UGCAUCUUCCAUUCCAUGACCAGAGGCCGGCCGACCAUGUACGCCGUCGACGAGCGGGAGACACACAGGGCCUCUCCUUUUUACCGGGCCGUGGUGCACGCCGUUGACGGGAGGGCAGACGGCCAGACGGCGACCGGCAGUUGCGCCCGGAAAUCACGUUGCCACGGCUACUUUCUCCCCAAACCCCCAACCACCUUCCCCCUUUCAUCCCAUCUCCGUUUCACGGUGCCAUCCGUCGUACACUACCACCACAGACAAGCGCACAUUCCCGUCCAGCCACUGCUUGAUCAAGGACUGCUGCUCGGUACGAGCAAGAUGGUGCUGGCGGAGAGCAUUGGCAAGUACAGGGUCGGCCGGACCAUCGGCGAGGGCGCCUUCGCCAAGGUCCGGCUCGCCGUCGACGCCGAGACCGGCGGCUGCGUCGCCGUCAAGGUCAUCGACAGGAGCACGGUGCUCAGGAACAACCUCAUGUACCAGGUGAAGAGAGAGAUCAGCGCGAUGAGGCUUCUCAACCACCCCAACAUAGUCAAGAUACACGAGGUGAUCGCGACGAAGACGAAGAUAUGUCUGGUGAUGGAGUAUGUCCCGGGAGGGCAGCUCUCCGACAAGCUAAGUUACCUCAAGAGACUGGACGAGAGGGAAGCGAAGAAGUACUUCUACCAGCUGAUUGAUGCUGUGGACUAUUGCCACCGGAGAGGCGUCUUUCACAGGGAUCUCAAGCCUGAAAACUUGUUGCUAGAUAAUCAGGGCAAUCUCAAGGUAUCUGAUUUUGGCCUCAGCGUGCUACGGAAGCCAGGGCAGUUGCUAUCCACAUCUUGCGGCUCUCCGUGCUACGUCGCUCCUGAGGUGAUUCAGCACAAGACUUACGAUGGGGCGGCCGCGGACAUCUGGUCAUGCGGUGUGAUCCUGUUUGAACUCCUUGCUGGUUAUCUGCCAUUCCAGGACUGCAGCUUGAUACACUUGUACAGAAGGAUAUCUCGGGCACAGUAUGCAUUACCGCAAUGGAUCACGCUGCCUCAGAAGAAGAUCAUCUUGAGGAUACUGGAUCCGUCUCCUAUAACGAGAGCGAAGAUAAAUGAUAUCUUCGAUGACGAGUGGUUCCAAGAGGGCUACAAUCCAUCAGUAAGGAGAACUGGGAGUGAUGAUGGUGAUGAUUGUGUUGAUCUUGAUGAGGCUGGCACAGAUAGUGAUGGCAGUCACAGCACAGAGGUAAGAGAAGCCGGGGGAGCGAAUCCAGAGCCUGAGCAGUUCAUCAACGCGUUCCGGUUGAUAGCGACCUGCAGAGAUCUCGACUUGUCAGGACUCUUCCAGGAGCAGAAAACAAAGCUCGGCUCGCCGCAUUCGGUGCAGGAAACACUGGGGAUAAUCACAGCUGCAGCCAGGGAUGUGAGCUUGUCAGCGAGGAGAAUGGGCAGCUCCAUGGUAAAGCUUCAGGACAUCAGAUUGCUAUCACGAAGCAUGCUUGAUCUUACGCUCUCGGCCGAGGUGAAGUGUUGUGCCACAUAUUCUCAUAUACCACUGGAGAUAGCAAUACCAAACAAUUUGCAAUUUGAUGAAUGCCACUGGAUGCGCCACUGACAUGUGGGAUCUGGAAUGUGAUCCAGGUAACACCAGCACACUGCGUCGUCGAAGUGUCCAAGUCCAGCGGUGAUCUGAGAGCAUACAAAGAGUUCUGCACAAGCCUGUGCAGAUUGCUGACCGGGCGGGUGCAGCAGCAUGGCACCUCAUCUGGUUUGGAGACCAACCAAGUCUGAGUAAAGGGUGAUUAAUUCUGUCAAGAGAGCAAAACAGCCGAGGUAGCACGACCCCUGCCAAGAGAUUUUACAGCUAGGCAGUUUCGAUGGCAGCCCCCUCCCUGUAAUGAGCUCUUGGUUCUCGAAGAUUGUAAUGCUACCCUGGUUAAUCGAUACAAUAUCUCUUUUCUGUCAAGAGAAAUUUGAGAUAUAAUUUCAACAAUUGAAAUCGAAACAGAGCAUCGAAUUUUCACAGAAACUUUGUGGUAGAUAAUUACCAUUCCACCACAAAGGAUCAUUUUAUAUACUUUUGGUGACUCAUAGACAUUAUUGUAUCACUGCUUCCAUAACGGAAUGUAAUUUCUUUACAUGUAAAUAAUGCAAGGAAACAUGGCAACA